GGAGACGUGGCCGAGAGGCUGAAGCGCUCGUUUGCUAAACGAGUGUACGCUCAAAAGGUGUACCGAGGGUUCGAAUCCCUCCGUCUCCGCCA
rnacentral:tRNA from 1 species